rnacentral:rRNA from 1 species
AUUGAACGCUGGCGGCAUGCUUUACACAUGCAAGUCGAACGGUAACAGGUUAAGCUGACGAGUGGCGAACGGGUGAGUAAUGCAUCGGAACGUGCCCGGUCGUGGGGGAUAACGCAGCGAAAGCUGCGCUAAUACCGCAUACGAUCUGAGGAUGAAAGCGGGGGACCGUAAGGCCUCGCGCGAUCGGAGCGGCCGAUGUCAGAUUAGGGAGUUGGUGGGGUAAAGGCUCACCAAGCCAACGAUCUGUAGCUGGUCUGAGAGGACGACCAGCCAGACUGGGACUGAGACACGGCCCAGAAUCCUGCGGGAGGCAGCAGUGGGGAAUUUUGGACAAUGGGCGAAAGCCUGAUCCAGCAAUGCCGCGUGCAGGAAGAAGGCCUUCGGGUUGUAAACUGCUUUUGUACGGAGCGAAAAGGUCUCCUCUAAUACAGGGGGCUCAUGACGGUACCGUAAGAAUAAGCACCGGCUAACUACGUGCCAGCAGCCGCGGUAA